AAAUUAGCAAAGCCCGAAGGCGUCGGGC
rnacentral:sRNA from 1 species